rnacentral:lncRNA from 1 species
UAUUUUUUAAUCUUUUGAAGGGAAGAUUAUGAGUAUUCAUUUAUGCAAGGAAACUCAGCCCUUAGACGUAUAACCAUGUAAUUCUUUAUGAGCAUUUAGAGUACUGCAUGGUUGACAGACAUCUAGUUCUUCACUAAAAAUAACCCCCCCGUACACGUAUUUCGAGACUGAAUAUGAAGCCUGUAAAAGACCAACUGACUUUUUAGUUGUAAUGAACCGUCAGUGAUUUUGCACGGUUGACACACCUGUGUGUACUGCAGGCCAGGACUCGGCAGAGGACAUAUUCUAGGUUUACUGGUAUAUAUAGAAACAGGAGUUUGCUUGUUUAUAUGUUCCACACUCAAAAAGGCAUAAUCAAAAUGUUUCUAAAUAAUGAUUUUACAAAAACCAUCAUUUACAUAAUUUGUAUAAAAAGCUUAAUACAAUUUUAAUCAAAAUUUUAAGUAAUUUAAAAAAUGCUUUAAGAUUCUAUAUUUCUGGAGUACCUAUGAAGUGGUAUGACUACAUCAUGUGAAAUAUUUAUUUUCUUCUUUAACUUUGGAGUAGCAGUCCUCUGCCUUAGUCACAGUGGCAGCAGUGCAGAAAACUCUCUCAAACCUCAGAAUAUAGUAGAAAUAAUUAAAGCUGUUGAAUGAGUCUUAAAAAUCAUACUACUGUUAAGUGGACCAAGUUUGGUGA